UUAUCCGAAACGCUGAAAUAGGCAAAAAAAUAGCAAUUCUGGGCUGGGCCUCCGGUUAAUAGGUUAGUACCAAAAAUAAUAUAAAAGUGGAAAAUAAAGCCCAAUAUAGUCCAAAACAGUAGAUAAUAUAGCAUGGAGCAAUCAAAAUUUAUAGAUACGUUGGAGACGUAUCAGGCAUCCCCAAGCUUAAUUCAUGCUCGUCCUCGAGUAGGUAAAUGAUAAAAAGAGAAUUUUUGAUGCGGAGUGCUACUUGGCAUAAUUUCAAUGCAAAUCUUCUUAAUUGUGGUAUGAAUAUUCAGAUUAGAAAGAUUCAAGACAAAGGUUUAUAUUGACAUAAAAAUAAUAAUACUUCAAGCAUACUAAUAAAGCAAUUAUGUCUUCUCAAAAUAACAUGGACAAAGAAAGUUAUCCCUACAAAAUCAUAGUCUGGCUAUGCUCCACCUUCACCACACAAAGUAUUCAAAUCAUGCACAACCCCGAUGACAAGCCAACACUCUAACUUUUUCAAAACUUUUUCAAUCUUCACGCAAUACAUGAGCGUGAGCCAUGGAUAUAGCACUAUAGGUGGAAUAGAAUGGUGGUUGUGGAGAAGACAAAAAGGAGGGGAAGAUAGUCUCACAUCAACUAGGCGUAUCAACAGGCUAUGGAGAUGCCCAUCAAUAGAUAUCAAUGUGAGUGAGUAGGGAUUGCCAUGCAACGGAUGCACUAGAGCUAUAAAUGUAUGAAAGCUCAACAAAAGAAACUAGUGGGUGUGCAUCCAACUUUCUUGCCCAUGAAGACCUAGGGCAAUUUGAGGAAGCCCAUUAUUGGAAUAUACAUGCCGAGUUCUAUAAUGUAAAAUUCCCACUAGUAUAUGAAAGUGACAACAUAUGAGAUUCUCUAUAUGAAGAACAUGGUGCUACUUUGAAGCACAAUAUAUGAGACUCGCUAUAUCAUGGUGCUACUUUGAAGCACAAGUGUGGUAAAAGGAUAGUAGCAUUGCCCCUUUUUAUUUAUUUUCUUUUUUGGGGCCUUCUUUUUUUCUUUGGCUUUUCUCCUUUUUUUAUUGGGACAAUGCUCUAUUGAAUGAUGAUCAUCACACUUUUAUUUAUUUACAACUCAAUGAUUACAACUCGAUUCUAAAACAAAGUAUGACUCUAUAUGGAUGCCUUCGGCGGUGUACCGGGAUAUGCAAUGAAUCAAGAGUGACAAGUAUGAAGAAAUUAUGAACGGUGGCUUUGCCACAAAUACUUAUGUCAACUACAUGAUCAUGCUAAACAAUAUGAAAAUGAUGAAUGUGUCAUGAUGAACUAGAUGGUGGAAAGUUGCAUGGCAAUAUAUCUCGGAAUGGCUCUGGAAAUGCCAUAAUAGGUAGGUAUGGUGGCUGUUUUGAGGAAGGUAUAUGGUAGGUGUAUUAUACCAGCGAAAGGUGUGCGGUAUUAGAGAGGCUAGCAAAGGUGGAAGGGUGAGAGUGCAUAUAAUCCAUGGACUCAACAAUAGUCAUAAAGAACUCAUAUACUUAUUGCAAAAAUCUAGAAGUUAUCAAAGCAAAGUAUUACGCGCAUGCUCCUAGGGGGAUAGAUUGGUAGAAAAAGACCAUCGCUCGUCCCCGACCGCCACUCAUAAGGAAGACAAUCAAUAAAUAAAUCAUGCUCUGACUUCGUUACAUAACGGUUCACCAUACGUGCAUGCUACGGGAAUCACAAACCUUAACACAAGUAUUCUUUAAAUUCACAACUACUCAACUAGCAUGACUUUAAUAUUAUCACCUCCAUAUCUCAAAACAAUUAUCAUGCUUCAAUCUUUUCUUAGUAUUCAACACACUCAAAAGAAAGUUUGACAAAUCUUGAAUACCAAGCAUAUUAUUAUUAAGAAAAUUACCAUGCUAUUAAGAGACUCUCAAAAUAAUCUAAGUGAAGCAUGAGAGAUCAAUAGUUUCUUUAAAACAAAUCCACCACCGUGCUUUAAAAGAUCUAAGUGAAGCACAUAGAGCAAAAUUAUAACGCUCAAAAGAUAUAAGUGAAGCACAUAGAGCAAAAUUAUCUAGCUCAAAAGAUAUAAGUGAAGCACAUAGAGCAAAACUACUUAGCUCAAAAGAUAUAAGUGAAGCACAUUGAGCAAAACUACUAUGCUCAAAAGAUAUAAGUGAAGCACAUAGAGUAUUCUAUAAAAUUUUAAUUCAUGUAUGGCUCUCUCAAAAGGUGUGCACAGCAAGGAUGAUUGUGGCAUACUAAGACACAAAGACACAAAUAAUACAAGACGCUCCAAGCAAAACACAUAUCAUGUUGGUGAAUAAAAAUAUAGCUCCAAGUAAAUUACCGAUGGAAGUGGACGAAAGAGGGGAUGCCCCGGAGGCAUCCCCAAGCUUUGACUUUUUGGUGUCCUUGGAUUAUCUUGGGGGUGCCAUGGGCAUCCCCAAGCUUAGACUCUUGCCACUCCUUGUUCCAUUAUCCAUCAAAAGAAUUCACCCAAAACUUGAAAACUUCACAACACAAAACUCAAAAUAGAAAACUUGUGAGCUCCGUUAGCGAAAGAAAACAAAAGACCAUCUCAAGGUACUGUAAUGAAAUCAUUCUUUAUUUAUAUUGGUGUUAAACCUACUGUAUUCCAACUUCUCUAUGGAUUAUAAACUAUUUUACUAGCCAUAGAUUCAUCAAAAUAAGCAAACAACACACGAAAAACAGAAUCUGUCAAAAACAGAACAGUCUGUAGUAAUCUGUAGCUAGCGCAAGAUCUGGAACCCCAAAAAUUCUAAAAUAAAUUGCUGGACGUGAGGAAUUUAUCUAUUAAUCAUCUCCAAAAAUAAUUAACUAAAUAGCACUCUUCAAAUAAAAAUGACAGCAAUUCUCGUGAGCGCUAAAGUUUCUGUUUUUUUACAGCAAGUUCAACAAGACUUUCCCCGAGUCUUCCCAACGGUUGUACUUGGCACAAACACUAAUUGAACACAAAAAACACAACCAAAACAAAGGCUAAAUAAUUUAUUUAUUACUAAGCAGGAGCAAAAAGCAAGGAAUAAAAAUAAAAUUGGGUUGCCUCCCAACAAGCGCUAUCGUUUAACGCCCCUAGCUAGGCAUAAAAGCGAGGAUAGAUCUAGGUAUAGCCAUCUUGAUUCUUAAUUCUUUUAGUGAUGUUAUUCUCGAAUCUGGGAGGUUCCUUACGUUUCCCUUCAUAUUCAGAGAUCUUGAGAUCUAAAGAAUCCAACCUCUUAUUGCAAAGAGUAAUUAACAUAUUCAUGGGGUGAAGAUUUCCGCUAACGCUCUUAAGAGGUUCAAGAGAUUUUUGUAAAAUCUUAGUUACUUCGCAAAUUUUCUCAAAAACUUGCGUUUCCUCUUGGGUAUGAUGGGGCCCCUUUUGUUGAGGUAAAGUUCCUACUAUACCUUCCAUAAUUUCAUGUGCGAUACUGGGAUCAAUUUCAAUAAAAUUGCCUUUGGCAACACAAUCCAAAAGUUGUCUAUGAGAUAUAUUAAGCCCAACAUAAAAAUUGCAAAGCAAAAUUCCGAAAUUUACUUCUAGGGUGCAUUUACGAUAAGAUUUCAUUAUUCUAAACCAAGCAUCCUUUAAGUUUUCUCCUUGAUUUUGUUUGAAGUGAAGGACUUCAAACUUGGGAGACAUAGGAGCAGAAAGAGGACUAGUCAUGACGACAAGCAAACAAACUAGCAUGCGAGCAAACAAGAGGCAAAUAGAGAGGGAGGAUAGAGAGAGAGGGCGAAUAAAACGGCAAGGGUGAAUUGGGGGGAGAGGAAAACGAGAGGCAAAUGGCAAAUAAUGUAAUGCGAGAGAUAGGGAUUGUGAUGGGUACUUGGUAUGUUGACUUUUUGCAUAGACCCCCGGCAACGGCGCCAGAAAUCCUUCUUGCUAUGUCUUGAGCUUGCGUUGGUGUUCCCCGAAGAGGAAGGGAUGAUGCAGCAGAGUAGCGUAAGUAUUUCCCUCAGUUUUUGAGAACCAAGGUAUCAAUCCAGUAGGAGCCCAUGCUCAAGUCUCUCGUACAUGCACAAAGCGAUAGCUACUCGCAACCAACGCGAUUAGGGGUUGUCAAUCCCUUCACAGUCACUUACGAGAGUGAGAUCUGAUAGAUAUAAUAUUUUUUGGUAUUUUUGGUAUAAAGAUGCAAAGCAAAAAGUAAAAGCAAAGUAAAAAAGCAAAGCAAGAUUAAAGUGAUGGAGAUUGAUAUGAUGAGAAUAGACCCAGGGGGCAUAGGUUUCACUAGUGGCUUCUCUCAAGAGCAUAAGUAUUCUACGGUGGGUGAACAAAUUACUGUUGAGCAAUUGACAGAAUUGAGCAUAGUUAUGAGAAUAUCUAGGCAUGAUCAUGUAUAUAGGCAUCACGUCCGUGACAAGUAGAUCGAAAUGAUUCUGCAUCUACUACUAUUACUCCACUCAUCGAUCGCUAUCCAGCAUGCAUCUAGAGUAUUAAGUUAAAAACAGAGUAACGCCUUAAGCAAGAUGACAUGAUGCAGAGAGAUAAAUUCAUGCAAUAUGAAAUAAACCCCAUCUUGUUAUCCUCGAUGGCAACGAUACAAUACAUGCCUUGCUGCCCCUUCUGUCACUGGGUAAGGACACCGCAAGAUCGAACCCAAAGCUAAGCACUUCUCCCAUGGCAAGAACUACCAAUCUAGUUGGCCAAACCAAACGGAUAAUUCGAAGAGACUUGCAAAGAUAACCAAUCAUACAUAAAAGAAUUCAGAGAAGAUUCAAAUAUUAUUCAUAGAUAGACUUGAUCAUAAACCCACAAUUCAUCGGUCUCAACAAACACACAGCAAAAAGAAGAUUACAUCGAAUAGAUCUCCACAAGAGAGGGGAGAACUUUGUAUUGAGAUUCAAAGAGAGAGAAGAAGCCAUCUAACUACUAACUAUGAACCCGAAGGUCUAAGGUAAACUACUCACACUUCAUCGGAGGGGCUAGGAUGAUGUAGAAGCCCUCCGUGAUGACGGCCCUCUUCCGGCGGAGCUCCGGAACAGGCCCCAAGAUGGGAUCUCGUGGAUACAGAAAGUUGUGGCGGUGGAAUUAGAUUUUUGGCUCCUCUUCUGAUCGUUUGGGGGUAUGUGUGUAUAUACAGGAGGAAGAAGUACGUCGGAGGAGCAACGAGGGGCCCACGAGGCAGGGGGCGCGCCCUAGGGAGGCGCCCGUGACCGCCUCUUUUGUUCCUUGGAGCAGGGUCCAAGUCUCCUGGAUCACGUUCGGUGAGAAAAUCACGUUCCCGAAGAUUUUAUUCCGUUUGGACUCUGUUUGAUAUUCCGUUUAUCCGAAACACUAAAAUAGGCAAAAAACAGCAAUUCUGGGCUGGGCCUCCGGUUAAUAGGUUAGUCCUAAAAAUAAUAUAAAAGUGGAAAAUAAAGCCCAAUAUAGUCCAAAAAAGUAGAUAAUAUAGCAUGGACCAAUCAAAAAUUAUAGAUACAUUGGAGACGUAUCAAGGGCUAGCAACAUCAUCAGUCUACCAACUACAUUCUGUCUGUAUCAUCUUCAUGCUCAUGCCCACAUGGGCACAUACAAGCUACUAAGAUUAGGUCAAAAUAUCACAAAUCCAGGCGCUCAAGUUAUCUCCAACCUAUAAUCCAACUUGUAAUAUCCAAGAUGAUACACUAGUCCACCAAUACCACAUUCAAGCUAAUCAUACUAUGCCUACAUAAAUCCAAUAUGUCUCAGGUUGAUCAUGCAACACCUUAAAGUUCUUGAGUUUCAAGCUCAUGUGAAAAUAUCACAAAUCCAAGUGCCUAAUCUCAAAUUUAACUCCGACCUAAAAUACAUGCAAAUAUAUCAUUGAACCUAACACAAAC
rnacentral:lncRNA from 1 species